GUGGACUGCUGUGCUUUUCCAAUCCUUCCCAUUCCCCUGGCAUUGACUUUGGUGCUGCAAUUGUCUUUCUAUUCUGAUGUCUAGAUGUGACUUACUGGAUCUUCUUUCUGGAUAACAUCUAGGCAGCAGAGAGGGUCUUGGAAUGCAAUUGCCAGAGUGUGCUUACUCCAAUCAGGGAGUCUUCCAGAUUUCAAUUAACAACAUUGGACCCUACAGCAAAAUCCUUGCUUAAGGAUCUUUGAUGACCUGAGUGGUGUUGAAUGUAAUACAUUCUACUGUCAAUCAUCCAUCCAGCUAUGAUCAUCCAUGAAAUCUGAAGUCCUCUUCUCUAGGGAAU